CAAUGGAAGCAUGCAAGCCACGACUCUUAAAUGUUCGGAUGGAUCAUGGCCAGUGAAGCUCCUGUACUACCCACAGCAUGGCUCGGGAAAGCUCUCUGCUGGUUGGGCCACAUUUCAGAGAGGAACUUCCGUAAAGAAAGGAGAUAUCUGUGUGUUAGAGCUUGUUAGAAAUGAUGAUAUUGAACUCAAAGUCUCCAUUUUCAGAAAGAAUGUCGAGACUCAGGCGUAAACUUUGGUAUGCCUGCAGAAAAAUCUCUGCUUCACUAUGUUUUGUCUAGUUAAUCAGAUCAAAGAAAGCAAAUCUUUCUGCUGCAAGUAAUGGAAUGGUGAUGUAUUUCCUGAUGUUU